GAUGAACGCUGGCGGCGUGCCUAAUACAUGCAAGUCGAGCGAACAGACGAGGAGCUUGCUCCUCUGACGUUAGCGGUGGACGGGUGAGUAACACGUGGAUAACCUACCUAUAAGACUGGGAUAACUUCGGGAAACCGGAGCUAAUACCGGAUAAUAUAUUGAACCGCAUGGUUCAAUAGUGAAAGACGGUUUUGCUGUCACUUAUAGAUGGAUCCGCGCCGCAUUAGCUAGUUGAUAAGGUAACGGCUUACCAAGGCAACGAUGCGUAGCCGACCUGAGAGGGUGAUCGGCCACACUGGAACUGAGACACGGUCCAGACUCCUACGGGAGGCAGCAGUAGGGAAUCUUCCGCAAUGGGCGAAAGCUUGACGGAGCAACGCCGCGUGAGUGAUGAAGGUCUUCGGAUCGUAAAACUCUGUUAUUAGGGAAGAACAAAUGUGUAAGUAACUAUGCACGUCUUGACGGUACCUAAUCAGAAAGCCACGGCUAACUACGUG
rnacentral:rRNA from 1 species